CAGUCGCCGCGGGAAUACAGAGGGUGAAAGCGUUAAUCGGAAUUACUGGGCGUAAAGCGCGCGUAGGUGGUUUGUUAAGUUGGAUGUGAAAGCCCCGGGCUCAACCUGGGAACUGCAUCCAAAACUGGCAAGCUAGAGUACGGUAGAGGGUGGUGGAAUUUCCUGUGUAGCGGUGAAAUGCGUAGAUAUAGGAAGGAACACCAGUGGCGAAGGCGACCACCUGGACUGAUACUGACACUGAGGUGCGAAAGCGUGGGGAGCAAACAGGAUUAGAUACCCCAGUAGUCCCUGUCUCUUAUAC
rnacentral:rRNA from 1 species